rnacentral:rRNA from 1 species
CAAUAGCAUAUAUUAACGUUGUUGCAGUUGAAAAGCUCGUAGUUGAACUUUUGGUAGGAGCGACCUGGCCUUGGGCGCAUGCCCUUGUUUGCCGUGUGUCGUGUCUGGCCAUCCUUUUCCGCUUCGGCGGGAAUCUUUUACUGUGAGUAAACUGGAGUGCUCAAAACGAGACGUUUGUUUGGUACAUUAAAGCAUGGAAUAAUAAGAUAGGACCUGGUUACUAUUUUGUUGGUUUGCAUAGCUAGGUAAUGAUUAACAGGGACAGUUGGGGGUAUUCGUAUUUAAUUGUCAGAGGUGAAAUUCUUGGAUUUAUGAAAGACGAACGACUGCGAAAGCAUUUACCAAGGAUGUUUUCAUUAA